rnacentral:siRNA from 1 species
CUCGAGCUUCUGAUUCAGGAUGUU